rnacentral:misc_RNA from 1 species
UCUGCGAGUUCGCGGGAGAGUAAGUUAUUGCCAGGGUUUUUAUUUUAUACUUUAAACCUUGAAUUUAUUUUUUAAAUGUUUAUAUUAUUUGAAUAAAACAUUCAAAUAAUAUAAAAAAUAAUAUAUAUAUUGACAUGGAUUAAACAAAGAUAUAUAUUAUUCUAUGUUGUAUAAACAAAUUGGCAAAAUAGAGAUGGAAGAUAAAAAUAUGGUCAAAGUAAUAAGAGUCUAUGGUGAAUGCCUAGGAA